UUAUUUCAGUGCCUGCGAACUGUCGACGAAACCACACGCCAACAGAGUGCAUUUGUUUAUUUAGUGCAAUUUAUGUAAAACUGCGAUAUGGAAGGGGACGCUAAUAAUGCAGUACGUGAUGAGGUCGUUGGAGAAGCCAUCCAUAAUAGUGUCAGAAUAGGUGUCGCAGGGCCAGUUCAGCGAGUGGUCGGCGCAGCGACCGGUACGGCGGUGGGAGCGGCCGUGGGGGCGCUGUUCGGCGGCCCGGCGGGCGCUGUAGUCGGCGGCGUUGUUGGAUACGUCGUCAGCCGUCACGUCGUCAGGGACUAUCAUCAGGACUGACGACUUGCAGACGUUGCAUGCUAACAAAUUGUGGACACAAACAUACGUACACGGAAUGUCAAACAGAACGAUAUAAAUCUACGAGUAUAUAUGUAUACAGAUAAAGAACGAUAAGCGUGACCAUCUGUAGCUUAAGCUCGCUCCAGACUAUGCGGCGCGAAGCCUCGAACGCGAGU